CAGUUCACACGUUCGAUCAACACUUCUAUACAAACAUUACUAUCGUGUGUACGUCGGAUUUCUUCGGCAAACUCGCGUAGGAUUUAUAAAUAAUAAUAAUAAUAUGUACCCGUAGAGGAGUACCCGCGUUCGCUCUGUUGUCCGUUCGGUUUUUACCGUAUUGUAGGUACGCGAGUUGAUUGAUUAUUCAUUUUAUACGCCCGGUAGAAAAGGUAAGUAGGUACCUAACUAUUUAUUUGAUUUGCCGGCGUGGCGCGUACAGUAUGGUUUCCCUCGUAGGAAAUCG